ACAUACCUAAAACGUUGCUUCGGCGGGAACAGACGGCCCUGUAACAACGGGCCGCCCCCGCCAGAGGACCCCUAACUCUGUUUUUAUAAUGUUUUUCUGAGUAAACAAGCAAAUAAAUUAAAACUUUCAACAACGGAUCUCUUGGCUCUGGCAUCGAUGAAGAACGCAGCGAAAUGCGAUAAGUAAUGUGAAUUGCAGAAUUCAGUGAAUCAUCGAAUCUUUGAACGCACAUUGCGCCCGCCAGUAUUCUGGCGGGCAUGCCUGUUCGAGCGUCAUUACAACCCUCAGGCCCCCGGGCCUGGCGUUGGGGAUCGGCGGAAGCCCCCUGUGGGCACACGCCGUCCCUCAAAUACAGUGGCGGUCCCGCCGCAGCUUCCAUUGCGUAGUAGCUAACACCUCGCAACUGGAGAGCGGCGCGGCCAUGCCGUAAAACACCCAACUUCUGAAUGUUGACCUCGAAUCAGGUAGGAAU
rnacentral:rRNA from 1 species